rnacentral:rRNA from 1 species
CCUACGGGAGGCAGCAGUGGGGAAUAUUGGACAAUGGGCGAAAGCCUGAUCCAGCCAUGCCGCGUGUGUGAAGAAGGCCUUCGGGUUGUAAAGCACUUUCAGUGGGGAAGAAAGCCUUGGGGCUAAUACCCUCGAGGAAGGACAUCACCCACAGAAGAAGCACCGGCUAACUCCGUGCCAGCAGCCGCGGUAAUACGGAGGGUGCGAGCGUUAAUCGGAAUUACUGGGCGUAAAGCGCGCGUAGGCGGUCUGAUAAGCCGGUUGUGAAAGCCCCGGGCUCAACCUGGGAACGGCAUCCGGAACUGUCAGGCUAGAGUGCAGGAGAGGAAGGUAGAAUUCCCGGUGUAGCGGUGAAAUGCGUAGAGAUCGGGAGGAAUACCAGUGGCGAAGGCGGCCUUCUGGACUGACACUGACGCUGAGGUGCGAAAGCGUGGGUAGCAAACAGGAUUAAUACCCUGGUAGUC